rnacentral:rRNA from 1 species
UGCAGUCGAGCGGACAGAUGGGAGCUUGCUCCCUGAUGUUAGCGGCGGACGGGUGAGUAACACGUGGGUAACCUGCCUGUAAGACUGGGAUAACUCCGGGAAACCGGGGCUAAUACCGGAUGCUUGAUUGAACCGCAUGGUUCAAUUAUAAAAGGUGGCUUCGGCUACCACUUACAGAUGGACCCGCGGCGCAUUAACUAGUUGGUGAGGUAACGGCUCACCAAGGCAACGAUGCGUAACCGACCUGAAAGGGUGAUCGGCCACACUGGGACUGAAACACGGCCCAGACUCCUACGGGAGGCAGCAGUAGGGAAUCUUCCGCAAUGGACGAAAGUCUGACGGAACAACGCCGCGUGAGUGAUGAAGGUUUUCGGAUCGUAAAACUCUGUUGUUAGGGAAGAACAAGUACCGUUCGAAUAGGGCGGUACCUUGACGGUACCUAACCAGAAAGCCACGGCUAACUACCUGCCAGCAGCCGCGGUAAUACGUAAGUGGCAAGCGUUGUCCGGAAUUAUUGGGCGUAAAGGGCUCG